rnacentral:rRNA from 1 species
ACGGCAGCACAGAGAAGCUUGCUUCUUGGGUGGCGAGUGGCGGACGGGUGAGGAAUACAUCGGAAUCUACUCUUUCGUGGGGGAUAACGUAGGGAAACUUACGCUAAUACCGCAUACGCCCUUCGGGGGAAAGCCGGGGACCUUCGGGCCUGGCGCGAUUGAAUGAGCCGAUGUCGGAUUAGCUUGUUGGUGAGGUAAUGGCUCACCAAGGCGACGAUCCGUAGCUGGUCUGAGAGGAUGAUCAGCCACACUGGAACUGAGACACGGUCCAGACUCCUACGGGAGGCAGCAGUGGGGAAUAUUGGACAAUGGGCGCAAGCCUGAUCCAGCCAUACCGCGUGGGUGAAGAAGGCCUUCGGGUUGUAAAGCCCUUUUGUUGGGAAAGAAAAGCAUUCGGUUAAUACCCGGGUGUUCUGACGGUACCCAAAGAAUAAGCACCGGCUAACUUCGUGCCAGCAGCCGCGGUAAUACGAAGGGUGCAAGCGUUACUCGGAAUUACUGGGCGUAAAGCGUGCGUAGGUGGUUGUUUAAGUCCGUUGUGAAAGCCCUGGG